ACGAACGCUGGCGGCGUGCUUAACACAUGCAAGUCGAACGGAAAGGCCCUGCUUUUGUGGGGUGCACGAGUGGCGAACGGGUGAGUAACACGUGAGUAACCUGCCCUUGACUUUGGGAUAACUUCAGGAAACUGGGGCUAAUACCGGAUAGGAGCUCCUGCUGCAUGGUGGGGGUUGGAAAGUUUCGGCGGUUGGGGAUGGACUCGCGGCUUAUCAGCUUGUUGGUGGGGUAGUGGCUUACCAAGGCUUUGACGGGUAGCCGGCCUGAGAGGGUGACCGGCCACAUUGGGACUGAGAUACGGCCCAGACUCCUACGGGAGGCAGCAGUGGGGAAUAUUGCACAAUGGGCGGAAGCCUGAUGCAGCAACGCCGCGUGCGGGAUGACGGCCUUCGGGUUGUAAACCGCUUUCGCCUGUGACGAAGCGUGAGUGACGGUAAUGGGUAAAGAAGCACCGGCUAACUACGUG
rnacentral:rRNA from 1 species